UAAUUAGGUGUUAUUUAAUUGAAUAAAUUUUUAAGAGUAUCCGAACAAGUGGGAUAGUUAAUUUAUUUCUGCAACUAAAAUUUAGCAUGGAUUGACUUGAUGCAUCAACAACUUCUUCCUUAAAUUCGUUACUGUUCUAUUGUUGCAGAUCAAAUUUCAAGUAUUUUUGGACUAUUGCAUUCAGACCUUCAUGAAGAGAAGGCUGUGGCUGUUCUUGAGUACAUGUCUUCCAUGGUGGCCAGUGUAGACCCAUAUCAUCAUUCUGCAGAUGGUCAGAAAGAAUGUUUAGAGAAUUCCGUAUCUGAGCAAAACUUUACCAAGGGAAAAUUUAAUGCCAGGUUCAAACGCAGAAAUGGGCGAGUUAGAGUAACGGUGAUGUCUUUCUUCCUGUUUGUAAACUUAUUUGGAAUGACAAAUAUAAAAAUUUGAUGCACUGAUAUAACACCUUUCUACUUUUAUCCAGUGUGAAGAAUUUAAUGUUGAGUCUGGAGGAAUCAACUUCGUAUCUGUUUCAUCAGUAGACGGAACCGCCAUUGCAGGCCUAGUGCCAAAGGUCAGUCUAUAGUUUUCUGUAGAUGGAAAACUGGUACUGUGAAGUUAUGUCUCUGUCACUGGAAGCAAAAGCCGAAGUACUUUUGUAAACAGAUAUUUUAAAUAGUUUUUGAAAAAAAAAAGGAUCUACAACAGAGAUCUUUCGUUAGUUGAAUUCCGUCUUCACCCUAAGGUUUUCCUGUUUUGGUUGAAUGGAGUACAUAGCCAUUCACAAGGCCUUUUUCACUUUUCAGAUAAUAAAAUUUAGAUGCUAGGAAAGAUGAAAUCAAGCAUAAAUGUCCAAGUUCUAACUACUUCCCAUUGUGCUGAUUUGGUUCUUCACUUUGUUGGGUGAAGUGUUGAGUGCUUCUGAGUUCUAACAGUACAUAUUGACAUGGUAUAUUUUCUGCGUACAAGAUUGAUAACAGUAUUUCUGCAAGUACAUAAAACAGUCAGAAAAACCUAUCUGGGAACUACCAGAGACCAAGCAAGAAAUGUGUUGUGAUAUGAAGUUGAUUCCUUUUCAUUGACU
rnacentral:lncRNA from 1 species